UUUUUCCUUACCCUUUCCAAGCAAGCUAGUGAGCAAUGUGAGAUUGUCUUAUGAGAAAUGUUUGUGAAGUACUUUGAAGGUGUUUGGCAAAAGAAUAAGUGUGGGGGUAUUUCAUGUUUGUAUUUAAAAAAAAAAAAAAAAAAAAAAAAGAGAAGAAAAGAAAAGAAAAAGAAAGAUUAUAUACAAAGAAAAUAAAAAGUUUUUAAAGUUUCAGUUUAAGGGUGUGAUUGGAGGUAUCAGAAGAAUCGUUGGAGAGCUUGAGUUCUUAUAAAUCUAAACAAAAGAAUUGCUUGCAAUGUAGCUUGGAACUUGUGUUUUCCUAUUCUUUCGUUUCAAUAACCCUAUCCCUAAGCCUCAUUACAUCCAAUAAAAGUCCUCUUGAUUUAAGUUUUGCAAUUAUGACUGUGGAGAAGUGAUCUUUAUGCAAGCUUAUGGUAGAAAUUUCACAUUUGAUUCUUUGAGCGAAACACAUUAAAACUAAACACAUGUGUGAUUGAGUGCAUAUC
rnacentral:lncRNA from 1 species